CAGCCGCCGCGGUAAUACGAAGGUCCCGAGCGUUGUUCGGAAUCACUGGGCGUAAAGGGAGCGUAGGCGGCGUGGUAAGUCAGAUGUGAAAUCCCGGGGCUCAACCCCGGAACUGCAUCCGAUACUGCCAUGCUAGAGGAUUGGAGAGGUAGCUGGAAUUCUUGGUGUAGCAGUGAAAUGCGUGGAGAUCAAGAGGAACACUCGUGGCGAAAGCGAGCUACUGGACAAUAACUGACGCUGAGGCUCGAAGGCCAGGGUAGCGAAAGGGAUUAGAUACCCCGGUAGUCCCUGUCUCUUAUAC
rnacentral:rRNA from 1 species